rnacentral:rRNA from 1 species
UGAGGAAUAUUGGUCAAUGGACGCAAGUCUGAACCAGCCAAGUAGCGUGCAGGAUGACGGCCCUAUGGGUUGUAAACUGCUUUUACAUGGUGAUAAAGUGCGGAAUGUGUUCCCUUUUGCAUGUACCAUAUGUAUAAGUACCGGCUAAUUCCGUGCCAGCAGCCGCGGUAAUACGGAAGGUUCGGGCGUUAUCCGGACUUAUUGGGUUUAAAGGGAGCGUACGCCGUUUGGUAAGAGUGUUGUGAAAUGUAGGAGCUCAACUUCUAGAUUGCCGCGCGAACUGUCAUACUUGAGUGCGGACAAAGUAGGCGGAAUUCAUGGUGUAGCGGUGAAAUGCUUAGAUAUCAUGAAGAAAUCCGAUUGCGAAGGGAGCUUACGGGGGCGCAACUGACGCUGAAGCUCGAAGGGGAGGGUAUCGAACAGG